ensembl:snRNA U6 U6 spliceosomal RNA
AUCUUCAGACCUCAAAGGACAUAUGCCCAAUAGGAAUCGAUACAGAGAAGAUUAGCAAGGUGCCCUGUGUGAUGACACACAAAAUCGUGAUGCGUUUCCCUUUUUU